CUGACCCUGUGGACUGUAGCCCACCAGACCCCUCCGUCCAUGGGAUUCUCCAGGCAAGAACAUGGAGUGGCUUGCCAUUCUCUUCUCCAGGGGAUCUUCCUGACCCAGGAAUUGAGCCUGGGUCUCCUGCCUUGCAGGCAGACUCUUUCUGGUCCGAGCCACCAGGGAAGCCCAACAGACCCUGAAGUGUCAAAUCAACAUUAAAUGGUAAACUAAAAAUUAAAAAAAAAAAAAACACUUCAUGAGAAGUCAGGAGAGAGACUGUGGAGCUGAAGGCGCAGCAGCAGUCCUUUGAAUCAUCAUAAAAGUACAGUUUUAAAGUUUUUUUUUAAUAGAAAAGUAUUUAAAACCUAAGAAAAUAAACCGAGUGAAGACAUAAUUGGUCAGAACUGGAAUGUACCUUAGGGGCUUUUCCUUGAAAAACAACACUUAAAAGCACUCCUGUGGGAUGAUUCUCCCUCCUGAAAGAGACAACCUGGAGUUUGGAUCACAUCAAAUAAAAAUCUCACCUAAAAUUGCUUUCUUUCUCAUUGCUGGACUAGAUAAA